AAAAAACCAACAGCAUGGCAAAGGCAUAGUAAGGUAACAACAGUGACAACAGAAUUCGACCAACAACAACAGCAUGAGCAUAAUGAUGGGCACAAUAGUUGGUUUAAACAGCAGCAGCAUGGCUAACAUGAUUUACAUGGAUUUCUAAGCAAUACUCCCAAGGUUUCAAAAACAGCAGCAGGCUUUAACAGCAUUGGUAUAUUCAUCAUCAAU
rnacentral:lncRNA from 1 species